GGAAUACCAGUAGAGGAAAGUGACCAAGACAUCCUGGUCACAAAUCCGCUAGGCCAUAGUGUGGUAGUAAACAAGGUGUAUGAGAGCUGUCCAUUGAUGAUUCAAGGGAAAGAGUUCUCGGCAGACUUAAUUGAACUACCAUUUCAUGAGUUUGAUGUGAUUUUGGGAAUGGACUGGUUAUCCCAUAAUCAGGCAAUAGUAGAUUGUAAAUUGAAGAGAAUCUCUCUGAAAACUGCUGAGAAUGAAGAAAUAAUAGUUGUGGGUGAAAGGACAGAUUU
rnacentral:misc_RNA from 1 species